rnacentral:rRNA from 1 species
GGCGAACGGGUGAGUAACACGUGACCAACCUGCCUCUUACAUUGGGACAACCAAAGAAAUUCUGGCUAAUACCAAAUACUCCGCACAUAUCACAUGAUGUAUGCGGGAAAGCUUUUGCGGUAAGAGAUGGGGUCGCGGCCCAUUAGGUAGACGGCGGGGUAGAAGCCCACCGUGCCGAUGAUGGGUAGCCGGGUUGAGAGACCGACCGGCCACAUUGGGACUGAGAUACGGCCCAGACUCCUACGGGAGGCAGCAGUG